AUGGACUGGCGCGUGAUCCUUGACAAGUUCGCUUGCUUGAUUCUGGUGCGACAGACAAGCCAGACGGUUGGGACUGGCACCAGGCGUCGGGGGCUCUGGUACAUGGACCAGGAGGUGCAGCCGGACUUGGUGUGUGCUGCGACCAUGGAGGAUAAGGAGAAGCAGGCGAUGAUCCAUCACUGUAGGAUGGGGCAUGUAUCUUUUGACAAGAUGAGUAGAAUAUUUCCGGAUGUUAUGUGUGGAAUAGGCAAAGGCAAGUUGACAUGUGAUGCUUGCGAAUAUGCAAAACACACACGAGCCUCAUAUGUGAGUAAGGGGCUCAGGAGCAUAUCUCCUUUUAUGCUUAUUCAUUCGGAUGUAUGGACUAGCCCAGUGGUGUCAAUGAAUGGGAAGAAGUAUUUUGCUACCUUUAUUGACUGUUAG
rnacentral:rRNA from 1 species